rnacentral:lncRNA from 7 species
GGCGCCCCGCAGCCUGAUCCCUCGGCUGAGGCGGGGUCAGAGGGCUAAGGGUGACUGACUGCCCAGUGCAUGGAUCUCAGCAGCACGGCUUGACUUUCGGGCGGCAGGCAAGGAUGCUAAUCCACAAGGUUCCUGAGUCCAACAUCCCUCCCUCCAAUGUGGGGCUCGAAUCCGCUAUUGCAACCAAACCCGGGUUCUGCCCGCAGGGUGGCGCAAUGACAAGAGCCACCAGGUGACCCUGGUAACUCCCGCACCUAGACCUACAGGAGCAGUUUUUCUGCAGCACCACAUCUGUAGCCCUGCAUGCCGCUGGCUCCAGUGUUGUGUGUGUGGUCAUGCUCCAUCCAGCCCAGCAGCAACUUUGGUGUUUGACACCCCUCGGGAGGCACCGCUUUGGAAGAGACUGGUGUGUGCGGAGCCCAAGAUGUGUUGGGAACAGCUAUCGUUUCUACUGCUUUGUCCCAUGCCUCUGGAGCUCCUGGGUUCCUGAACUUCAAGCUGGGCCCCAUCCUUCACCCUAUCAGGGCCCUGGGUGGAGCUGACUUCCAACAGUAUACAGUGGGUCUUGGUACUUCCUCCUUGGCAUUCGACAGUUGGUGUUUUUGAAGUCAGAGCCAUCCUCAGUAGGCUCCUAGGGGAUCGUAAGCGGCUUUCUCUGGGUGGAAACCUACUCCAUGCAGCCUUCAGCAAAGGUACCAGCAUCUGUCACUGGGAUGGGGAAGUCCGGUGAUCGUGUCAGCAUGGGCUACGGUGGACGGGGAAAGGCUCGUUCUGACACUAGACACCUGGGUCUCUAGCCCUAUGCCUGGAUUUGUCUGGGGAACUCUGCACCACACUGAUCCUGGCUUUCCCCAUUACCUGCUCCAUGCCAGGAUCCUACGGCUGUUGAUCCCCUCGGAAGUGAGACAUAAUGUCCCGGAGCAGAUGCUGAUGGGGACUCACUGUUGGGCCACCUGAUUUCUGUGUUCAUCUUCCCAGGCUCCACCUUUCAGAUCCCAUCCCUGGUGUCUGCAGUUACAACUUUACUAACCAGAACUUUGUUUCCAGCUUACGCUGAAAAGCAAAGGGUGACUUAGAAUAAAAAUGUAACAAAUAGCCCCAUAGCCCAAACCUUUUCUGCCAUGAUUUACUGUACCAGAUACCUAUAAGUGUCCAGGGCAAAUUAAACACAUCAAUAAAUGGCUUUCUUGUGUC